UACAGAGGGUGCGAGCGUUAAUCGGAAUUACUGGGCGUAAAGGGUGCGUAGGCGGUUAUUUAAGUUAGAUGUGAAAUCCCCGGGCUUAACCUGGGAAUUGCAUUUAAGACUGAAAGACUAGAGUAGAGUAGAGGGAAGUGGAAUUUCCGGUGUAGCGGUGAAAUGCGUAGAUAUCGGAAAGAACAUCAGUGGCGAAGGCGGCUUCCUGGACUCAUACUGACGCUGAGGCACGAAAGCAUGGGGAGCAAACAGG
rnacentral:rRNA from 1 species